CAGAAUGUUCUACCAGAACGAAACGAGGACUUUCAGAGCCCAGAACAAUGUGAAACAGUAACUGACUUCACAGUAUUGCAGAAUGUUUUGUCAGAGCGAAACGAGGACUUUCAGAACCCAGAACAACGCGAAACAGUGACUGACUUUACAGAAGGUUCAAAAGGAGCAGAUUCAGACCAAUCAUUUGUAAACCAAGAGCCUAGCGUAUCACAUACUAUUCAGGAGACAUCACAGUCUUCAUUUUCGUCAUGUUAUGUCUCCAGAAGCGACAGAGACGACGAACCGUGUUCUCUAGAAACGA
rnacentral:lncRNA from 1 species